rfam:Oryza glaberrima chromosome 2 Oglab02_0008_4, whole genome shotgun sequence.
ACCCUGCAAAACCAUAGGUGGUUAUGCCUAUCUUAUAUGAAUUUUUUUUAUAAUUAGUAUUUUCAUUGUUGUUAGAUGAUAAAACAUGAUUAAUACUUUAUGCGUGACUUAUCUUUUUAAUUUUUUUCAUAAUUUUUUCAAAUAAGACGGACGGUCAAACGUUGGACACGGAAACCAGGGUUUGUCUUUUU